CAUCAGCUUCCUUAUGCUUUCUUCCCAUUUAAUCUCAGCAAAGGCUUCCCUGACUAAAGGAAGGGGCAGGCGAGCAAUAAUUCUGCCCUUGACCUCGUCCUGGGCUUGAUUGAGUCCAAGCAAGAAAUGGAUGGUCCGUUUUGCUUGGAGGAUUCUCCUGUAGAGCUCCGCAUCCUCUGUACAUUUCCAUAGAUGCACGUCAUAGA
rnacentral:lncRNA from 1 species